GACGAACCGUGCGAACGUUGUUCGGAAUCACUGGGCUUAAAGGGCGCGUAGGCGGGUGCUCAAGUCCGGGGUGAAAUCCCACAGCUCAACUGUGGAACUGCCUCGGAUACUGGGUGCCUCGAGGGUGGUAGGGGUAUGCGGAACUAUCGGUGGAGCGGUGAAAUGCGUUGAUAUCGAUAGGAACUCCGGUGGCGAAGGCGGCAUACUGGACCACAACUGACGCUGAGGCGCGAAAGCCAGGGGAGCAAACGGG
rnacentral:rRNA from 1 species